AGAGGAGGAAGCCACGGCUAACUACGUGCCAGCAGCCGCGGUAAUACGUAGGUGGCGAGCGUUGUCCGGAUUUACUGGGCGUAAAGGGUGCGUAGGCGGAUGUUUAAGUGGGAUGUGAAAUCCCCGGGCUUAACCUGGGGGCUGCAUUCCAAACUGGAUAUCUAGAGUGCAGGAGAGGAAAGCGGAAUUCCUAGUGUAGCGGUGAAAUGCGUAGAGAUUAGGAAGAACACCAGUGGCGAAGGCGGCUUUCUGGACUGUAACUGACGCUGAGGCACGAAAGCGUGGGUAGCAAACAGGAUUAGAUACCCUGGUAGUCCACGCCGUAAACGAUGGAUACUAGGUGUAGGGGGUAUCAACUCCCCCUGUGCCGCAGUUAACACAAUAAGUAUCCCGCCUGGGGAGUACGGUCGCAAGAUUAAAACUCAAAGGAAUUGACGGGGGCCCGCACAAGCAGCGGAGCAUGUGGUUUAAUUCGAAGCAACGCGAAGAACCUUACCUGGACUUGACAUCCCUUGCAUAGCCUAGAGAUAGGUGAAGCCCUUCGGGGCAAGGAGACAGGUGGUGCAUGGUUGUCGUCAGCUCGUGUCGUGAGAUGUUAGGUUAAGUCCUGCAACGAGCGCAACCCUUGUUAUUAGUUGCUACCAUUAAGUUGAGCACUCUAAUGAGACUGCCUGGGUAACCAGGAGGAAGGUGGGGAUGACGUCAAAUCAUCAUGCCCCUUAUGUCCAGGGCUACACACGUGCUACAAUGGUAGGUACAAUAAGACGCAAGACCGUGAGGUGGAGCAAAACUUAUAAAACCUAUCUCAGUUCGGAUUGUAGGCUGCAACUCGCCUACAUGAAGCUGGAGUUGCUAGUAAUCGCGAAUCAGAAUGUCGCGGUGAAUACGUUCCCGGGCCUUGUACACACCGCCCGUCACACCAUGAGAGCUGGUAACACCCGAAGUCCGUGAGGUAACCGUAAGGAGCCAGCGGCCGAAGGUGGGAUUAGUGAUUGGGGUGAAGUCGUAACAAGGUAGCCGUAGGAGAACCUGCGGCUGGAUCACCUCCUUUCUAAGGAGA
rnacentral:rRNA from 1 species